GAUCAUACCAGCGUUAAUGCACCGGAUCCCAUCAGAAGUCCGCAGUUAAGCGCGCUUGGGCUAGAGUAGUACUGGGAUGGGUGACCUCCCGGGAAGUCCUAGUGUUGCGCCCU
rnacentral:rRNA from 1 species